CCUACGGGCGGCAGCAGUGGGGAAUAUUGCACAAUGGGGGAAACCCUGAUGCAGCGACGCCGCGUGAGUGAAGAAGUAUUUCGGUAUGUAAAGCUCUGUUAGCAGGGAAGCAAAUGACGGUACCUGACCACGAAGCCCCGGCUAACUACGUGCCAGCAGCCGCGGUAAUACGUAGGGGGCCACCGUUAUCCGGAUUUACUGGGUGUAAAGGGAGCGUAGGCGGCAGGGCAAGUCUGGAGUGAAAGGCGGGGGCUCAACCCCCGGACUGCUCUGGAAACUGCCAGGCUGGAGUGCAGGAGAGGUAAGUGGAAUUCCUAGUGUAGCGGUGAAAUGCGUAGAUAUUAGGAGGAACACC
rnacentral:rRNA from 1 species